AAAUUGAAGAGUUUGAUCAUGGCUCAGAUUGAACGCUGGCGGCAGGCCUAACACAUGCAAGUCGAACGGUAACAGGAAACAGCUUGCUGUUUCGCUGACGAGUGGCGGACGGGUGAGUAAUGUCUGGGAAACUGCCUGAUGGAGGGGGAUAACUACUGGAAACGGUAGCUAAUACCGCAUAAUGUCGCAAGACCAAAGAGGGGGACCUUCGGGCCUCUUGCCAUCGGAUGUGCCCAGAUGGGAUUAGCUAGUAGGUGGGGUAACGGCUCACCUAGGCGACGAUCCCUAGCUGGUCUGAGAGGAUGACCAGCCACACUGGAACUGAGACACGGUCCAGACUCCUACGGGAGGCAGCAGUGGGGAAUAUUGCACAAUGGGCGCAAGCCUGAUGCAGCCAUGCCGCGUGUAUGAAGAAGGCCUUAGGGUUGUAAAGUACUUUCAGCGGGGAGGAAGGGAGUAAAGUUAAUACCUUUGCUCAUUGACGUUACCCGCAGAAGAAGCACCGGCUAACUCCGUGCCAGCAGCCGCGGUAAUACGGAGGGUGCAAGCGUUAAUCGGAAUUACUGGGCGUAAAGCGCACGCAGGCGGUUUGUUAAGUCAGAUGUGAAAUCCCCGGGCUCAACCUGGGAACUGCAUCUGAUACUGGCAAGCUUGAGUCUCGUAGAGGGGGGGUAGAAUUCCAGGUGUAGCGGUGAAAUGCGUAGAGAUCUGGAGGAAUACCGGUGGCGAAGGCGGCCCCCUGGACGAAGACUGACGCUCAGGUGCGAAAGCGUGGGGAGCAAACAGGAUUAGAUACCCUGGUAGUCCACGCCGUAAACGAUGUCGACUUGGAGGUUGUGCCCUUGAGGCGUGGCUUCCGGAGCUAACGCGUUAAGUCGACCGCCUGGGGAGUACGGCCGCAAGGUUAAAACUCAAAUGAAUUGACGGGGGCCCGCACAAGCGGUGGAGCAUGUGGUUUAAUUCGAUGCAACGCGAAGAACCUUACCUGGUCUUGACAUCCACGGAAGUUUUCAGAGAUGAGAAUGUGCCUUCGGGAACCGUGAGACAGGUGCUGCAUGGCUGUCGUCAGCUCGUGUUGUGAAAUGUUGGGUUAAGUCCCGCAACGAGCGCAACCCUUAUCCUUUGUUGCCAGCGGUCCGGCCGGGAACUCAAAGGAGACUGCCAGUGAUAAACUGGAGGAAGGUGGGGAUGACGUCAAGUCAUCAUGGCCCUUACGACCAGGGCUACACACGUGCUACAAUGGCGCAUACAAAGAGAAGCGACCUCGCGAGAGCAAGCGGACCUCAUAAAGUGCGUCGUAGUCCGGAUUGGAGUCUGCAACUCGACUCCAUGAAGUCGGAAUCGCUAGUAAUCGUGGAUCAGAAUGCCACGGUGAAUACGUUCCCGGGCCUUGUACACACCGCCCGUCACACCAUGGGAGUGGGUUGCAAAAGAAGUAGGUAGCUUAACCUUCGGGAGGGCGCUUACCACUUUGUGAUUCAUGACUGGGGUGAAGUCGUAACAAGGUAACCGUAGGGGAACCUGCGGUUGGAUCACCUCCUUACCUUAAAGAAGC
rnacentral:rRNA from 1 species